UUUGCCUACGGGACGCAGCAGUGGGGAAUAUUGCACAAUGGGGGAAACCCUGAUGCAGCGACGCCGCGUGGGCGAGGAAGUACCUCGGUAUGUAAAGCCCUAUCAGCAGGGAAGAAACAGGACAGUACCUGACUAAGAAGCCCCGGCUAACUACGUGCCAGCAGCCGCGGUAAUACGUAGGGGGCAAGCGUUAUCCGGAUUCACUUGGCGUAAGGGAGCGCAGGCGGCAUGGCAAGUCUGCUGUGAAAACCC
rnacentral:rRNA from 1 species